UUAAUAUUAAAGGGCUGCAGUAUAUUGACUGUACAAAGGUAGCAUAAUCAUUAGUCAUUUAAUUGAUGACUUGUAUGAAAGAUUGGAUGAAAUAUAAACUGUCUCUUAUUUAAUUAUAAAAUUUAAUUUUUUUAUUAAAAAGUUAAAAUAUUUUAAAAAGACGAGAAGACCCUAUAGAGUUUUAUAAAUUAUUAAAUUGAGAUUAUAUGUAAAAUAAAUUUAAAAUUAAAUUAUUUAUUUUGUUGGGGUGAUAAAAAAAUAUAUUUAACUUUUUUUAAUUAUAAAACAUUUAUAAGUGGUUAAAUGAUCCAAUAAUAUUGAUUAUAAGAAAAAAUUACCUUAGGGAUAACAGCGUAAUUUUUUUUUUUAGUUCAAAUAAAAAAAAAAGUUUGCGACCUCGAUGUUGGAUUAAGAUAAAAUUUAAAUGUAGAAG
rnacentral:rRNA from 1 species